rnacentral:lncRNA from 1 species
UGCAGGGAGACUGCCUGUCAGUUUAGGCAGUCCCCCUGCAGGCAGAUACACAGGCACCUAUUGUGGCCAUGUGACCGCUCUUUCAGAGCAAUUACAUGGCAGGGGGGGCUUAUUUGCCAAGGGGUGACUGUCUAGGCCAGUGAUGGCGAACCUUUUUGAGCCCGAGUGCCCAAACCACAAUACAUGCCAACUUUUUUUCCCUCAAAGUGCCAACAUGGCAAUUAAACCUGAAUACUGAGGUUUACGUUUAGAAAAAACUACUCGUACAGUUAACAACUUUUGUUUUAAAAGAAGAACACAACAGAGAGUUAAAUUAUACAAAUUUUAAAUGAUAUAAAUUAAGCUUAUAUUAGUAUCUCCAACAAAUGCAAUACAUACACACAGACUGCUGAACACAUUCACACACCAACUGCUUAAUACAUACACACACCGAGACACAGACAGACUGCUAAAUACACACACAGUCCGCUAAAUACACGCACACUCCUGAGUACGCAGUCUGCUGAAUACACGCACGCAGUCUGCUGAAUACACGCACACACACUGCUGAAUACAUAAAGACUGCUGAACACACACACAUAUACUGCAUUGAGGGGUGCAGUGUAUGUGUCUGUGUGUAAUGUUGUGUGGGGGGUGUGGGGUGCUGUGUGUGGGGGGUGGGGUGCUGUGUGUGGGGGUAGGGUGCUGUGUGUGGGGGGUGGGGUGCUGUGUGUGGGGGUUGGGGUGCUGUGUGUGUGGGGGUUGGGGUGCUGUGUGUGUUUGGGGAAAGGGUGCUGUGUGUGUUUGGGGGAAAGGGUGCUGUGUGUGUUUGGGGGAAAGGGUGCUGUGUGUGUGGGGGGGUAGGGGUGCUGGGGGUAGUGGGGGUGCUGGGGGUAAGGGUUUUGUGGGUAGGGGUGCUGGGGGUAGGGGGGAUAGGUUAUUACAUCAGUACCCCCCCCUCCCUUCUUCUAACCUUUGGUGAAGGGGAGGGGGGGGGGACACAGCCAUCCCUGGUGGUCUGGUGGUGGUAUGCAGGACAGGAUGACAAGUCCUGCAGCUCUCCCGCGCGAUGCUGUGUGGAGCGUUGCCAUGGUAACGCGCGGCAACGCUCCACACAGCUCGCGGGUGGACAAGAGAGCUGUUUCCUCGAUCCUUCCUCCCUGCUUCCGGUCCUGCCGACACGGAAGCAGAGUAGGCGCCUGCCGUUUCGGGCAGGCAGGCGCCUACUCUGCAGUGAUGGCAAACCUAUGGCCGUGUGCCCACAGAGAGGGCCCGGCGUGCCACCUGUGGCACGCGUGCCAUAGGUUCGCCAUCACUGGUCUAGGCUGUCAGACAAUUCCCCCAGACCAGGAGGAACAAGGACAGCGUUCUAUGCCGCCCGCAGGUGUUUAGAGCCACCACUAAAAGGACGGCAUAGGGUGCCCAAACCACAAUACAUGCCAACUUUUUUUCCCUCAAAGUGCCAACAUGGCAAUUAAACCUGAAUACUGAGGUUUACGUUUAGAAAAAACUACUCGUACAGUUAACAACUUUUGUUUUAAAAGAAGAACACAACAGAGAGUUAAAUUAUACAAAUUUUAAAUAAUGAUAUAAAUUAAGCUUAUAUUAGUAUCUCCAACAAAUGCAAUACAUACACACAGACUGCUGAACACAUUCACACACCAACUGCUUAAUACAUACACAGACCGAGACACAGACAGACUGCUAAAUACACACACAGUCCGCUAAAUACACGCACACUCCUGAGUACGCAGUCUGCUGAAUACACGCACGCAGUCUGCUGAAUAUACGCACGCAGUCUGCUGAAUACACACACACACACUGCUGAAUACAUAAAGACUGCUGAACACACACACAUAUACUGCAUUGAGUUGUGCAGUGUAUGUGUCUGUGUGUAAUGUUGUGUGGGGGGGGUGGGGUGCUGUGUGUGGGGGGUGGGGUGCUGUNNNNNNNNNNNNNNNNNNNNNNNNNNNNNNNNNNNNNNNNNNNNNNNNNNNNNNNNNNNNNNNNNNNNNNNNNNNNNNNNNNNNNNNNNNNNNNNNNNNNUGGGUAAGAGGGGUAGGGGUGCUGUGGGUAGUGGGGGUGCUGGGGGUAAGGGUUCUGUGGGUGGGGGUAGGGGUGCUGUGGGUAGGGGGAGUAGGGGUGCUGGGGGUAGUGGGGGUAAGGGUUUUGUGGGUAGGGGUGCUGGGGGUAGGGGGGAUAGGUUAUUAAAUCAGUACCCCCCCCUCCCUUCUUCUAACCUUUGGUGAAGGGGAGGGGGGGACACAGCCAUCCCUGGUGGUCUGGUGGUGGUAUGCAGGACAGGAUGACAAGUCCUGCAGCUCUCCCGUCCUCCCGCGCGAUGCUGUGUGGAGCGUUGCCAUGGUAACGCGCGGCAACGCUCCACACAGCUCGCGGGUGGACAAGAGAGCUGUUUCCUCGAUCCUUCCUCCCUGCUUCCGGUCCUGCCGACACGGAAGCAGAGUAGGCGCCUGCCGUUUCGGGCAGGCAGGCGCCUACUCUGCAGUGAUGGCAAACCUAUGGCCGUGUGCCCACAGAGAGGGCCCGGCGUGCCACCUGUGGCACGCGUGCCAUAGGUUCGCCAUCACUGGUCUAGGCUGUCAGACAAUUCCCCCAGACCAGGAGGAACAAGGACAGCGUUCUAUGCCGCCCGCAGGUGUUUAGAGCCACCACUAAAAGGACGGCAUAGGGUGCAGGCUGUCCUUAAGGGGUAAAAUUAUGACAACCUCACCUUAACUACAGAGGUAAUUAUACAAGACAAGUUCUGAACCAAAACAAAACCUGAAAUUUGAGCUAUAUGUCUGUUCAACCAUAAUUUAAGGGUUUCUCUUCAAGUGCCCCCAAUACGUAUUGUACAUUAUUGGUUAAAUGACAGGGC